rnacentral:lncRNA from 1 species
AGUCUUCUCUUCUGCACCAAAGGAAAGGGUGCUAAUCACACCAUCGACUGAGCCUUCAAAGGCACAGGGGCAAAUCAAGAUCCUGGCACCCAGACACCAAACACCUGAGGGAGGAGAGGAGGCACAGGUGAGGCUGACCAGGACAGAGGGCAGAAUGUGAGCUCCACCUCCAAGAGGAAGGGAGUAGGAGGAGGCAUGAGACAGGGGAGGCUCCUGGGAGGAGGAACACAUGGCGCAGGCCUGUGCAAACAUGCCAUGGGGCAUGGCGGGAUUCUGUGCUUCCAUGCAUGUGCCUAACUCAGAUGUGGAAAACCCCAUGUGCAAGGAACAGACAGCUACUUGGGCUGCUCCAGGAAAGAAGUGGCCAAAUCACAGCCUCUACUGAGACACCGGCAACCCCUCCCUGGUGAUCUGAGCCUAGCACUGCGAGCCUCCCCCUCUGGCUUCCUGAGGCACAGGCACCAGCUGGGAAGAGCUCCCUUUUCAAAGGUCUGACCUCAACGCGGUGGAGCCCUGCCCUAUCUGCCUGUGGAUUUUAACAACAUGCUCUCUUUGCUUUGCCCCUGACCCUGUGAGGAAGCUGCUUCCUGUAUGUUCUCUCCGUGGGACGUGUAUGUCUCCUUUUUGUGUUUUUUAGGCUUCCAAUACCUGCUUGACUAGUUUCCUAUACUAAAUUCUCUGUCAAAAUAACUGAGGUGACUUCUGUUUUUCUAAAUAAUACACAGAUUUUUUGAUUUGGUGGGGAAACUUCAAGAGCCUUGAGUCGCUUUUUACAGAACAGAAACCUGGGGCUGGAGGGGUGAGAUGCCUUCCUCAAGGUCAAUUCUGGGGCCAGCCCAAUCCAGGGUUCCUACCACCAUCCUAUAUAGUCUUCUAAGCACAUUUCAAAGCUUCAAAUGCAGUAUUUUGUCUUUCAUACGGGAUUCUCUGCUUGUCCUGAACAAACUAAGAACAGUUUCCUGUUUCCUCGUGUAGAAAAACAUUAGAGCCAGAAACGGAUGGUCCCAUUGGCCUUAACAGGAUUCCAUGGGUAUGUAGUGGCCAUGGCUCCAGCAAAUCCCACAGCCCUGCCAGGUAUCUUUCCUGUCCUUCUCCCAUCUGUGCUAACUCACCCCCCACCUGGAGCCAGAUGGACUUGGGUGUCACCAUCCCCCAGACUCUGAGCUCCUCCUGGGCAGGGGCCUUGCCCAUUCCUCAGGAUGACAAUGUACUCUGAUGCUGGGAGCACAGACCCUCAUGUCAGACACACCUGAGCUGGAAUCCUGGCUUUACGACUUACCUCGCCAAACCUUACUUUUCUUCUCUACAACACAGAGAUUUUGCUAUCUCACACGGUUGCUGCAUGGAUUGAAUUCCACUAGGCACAGAAUGUGCCACCCCCCAAUGAUGCCUAUUCAGUGCGUGAGACCCUGUCAUUAC